AAGUUGUUCGUCUUUCGCAUUUUCAUUUCGCGUGACUCGAUUUAUCCGAUCGUAAAGUGCUAAUCGAAUUGUUUGACAUUUGUAAUAGUGCCGUGAUACCUUCCUUCAAACUCUUCGAGAUAAGAACUAAUCAAACGUCAAAGUGUUGACAGGGGUACAGUUUACUUCUGCUGACUGGUAAAAAAAUGGCUGAAGUGAGACAAGUUGCUAGGAUGGACACUCGAAUUCCCUGACUUGGCAUUUUUUUGACAUGAAGGGGAUGAGAAGUAUAACUGGUGAGUGAAUGUUUCGAAGAACGAGGAAGGCUAAUAUCUACGUCAAUCAGGUAACGGUAGGCCCUGUGAUGAUCGCGCACGAUGUUCGAGUGUCCGACUAACUGUUCGCAAGUUUAAGGAAAGCUGAAAGGAUAUGCUAAUUGCAAAAUAUUCUUAUUGCGUUGUUGAACUUUCCUUGGUUAAAAACGGUUGCCGAUUUCUUAAACUAUCUCUAAAAACUCGUUGUCUUAUGCGAAUUAUCGAAAAGAGUAUUUCUUAAUAUUUUGUGACGUCUACUAUAAAAGGUUAUUAUCAUUGCAUCUUAUUUUAUUUUUGUUUUGGGUUUGAUAAUACCUGAAUAUUUUAAUCCGAAGGUAUUUAAUAAUUCAUAUUAUUCGUACUAAUAAUAAAAUGAAACGAAAUCUAUUAAUAUACUUUCUAAAUAUCGCUUCGUUACUCGAGUUUAUCAUUCUUCUAUAUCCUUCUACUCCGAUUAUGAAAUUCCUAUUAGACCAUCUGUUACUUAUACUGACGUCAAUGAUAUCAGUGCUGUUUAUAGGUUAGCAGCCAACAAAUUUGUAAUGCGUCUCAUGAAAACCAAGUUUAGAAUCUUACUGUUAAAAAAGCUUCUGAUGAAAAGUCUCGUAUAAGUAAGGAUGUUGAACUUAAAUAAUUGAACUUUUGUAACAUUAAUUUCGAAUGAAUAAUAAAACUAGCAAAUAAUUCGACGUAGAUAAAAUUGAAAGAGUAAUUCUAAAUUUUCAACCGGUAGCGUAUCUAUAGAUACUUCUAAGCUCAAAUAUUUCAGACACUAUACGCUCAAAAUCUAUGUAUAAUAGAACCUACAAUACAAUUGCUAUGAAUACGCUUUACAGCAAGAUGUUCUCACCAAAAUAUACUCUAUCAACUAUAAUGUAUGCUCGUGUUUCGCCCGAAUUCCAACAGUCCCUCCACGUCGAUCUCUCCAUGGUCUGACAUUUGUAUCUGCGAUAUCGACUGCUCGUCCUAAAGUAGACGCGUAUAUCUUCGCGCCAAAAAUAAACUUUUCCCGAUGACUGGCACGGCCGAGUCGCGUCGAUCCAAUUAUAAAAUGCUGCUGUGAAUUUGCCAAGCAAUUUCGCUCCUUUUCAAAGGACACUUCUCGGCCGUAACCGCGAUAGCGAAAGAGCAUUUCGCUGACUGGUGACUUCCUGUUGGCAAUUAGAGGCGGGAAGCAAGGGCAAAAAUAAUGCCGCGCGAAACGUGCUUGAAGUUCUAACGACCCGUUGAGAGGGACAACGACGGACCAGAGCGCUAUAUCUCACCCCGUUCCGUAGGAUAUUUGUCUUCGAGCGCGGCCAUUUGACAUCCGAUACUCCGCGACACGGCGUCGCCACAGCGAAAGUAGAGGAGGACGUCGUACGUCCCCUUCGAAUCGUUCUCGAUCCCUUCUCGUCCGGCUAUUCCACGAAACGUGUCAGCGACGGCGCGCGUGCUAAUUGCAUGAAAUAUUGGAGCGCGCCGGUGGCCGAGAGAGUCUGCUGACUGCUUCCUCCUUUGCGCUUCUCCUUUUGAUACCUUUUGCUUCAGGAAGUUGAACAUCGUGGUCGAGAUCCGAGAGGGAAUGAAUGAACGGAUAGUUGGUAUUUUCGAAUGAAUGGGAGUAUAAUAAGCGGUAUCGACUUUUUGUUUGUACUAAUGGGUGGUUUUUAUUAGCUGAUUGGAUAUGAAAUCGUAAUGCAAUGGUUUCGAAGGGAUGACGAUAAUGCCUGUAUUAUUGGUUUAUGUAUAAUCAAUAGAUGUAAAUGAUGGUAUUUUACUGGAUAUCGGUGGUUCAAUAUACUUACAUAUAUAUGGUAAUAUUUACCAUAGAAAGUGCAGUUUCAUAGGCACAUCUAUAGUUAACAGUGUCUAGUACGAUUUCAUUCAGAUAAACAUUAUUCUGUUCAAUUAAAUAUAAACAUACGUUGUACAAAUACUUCUAAUGAUUCAACAUUCAAUUUAUUUCAGAUGUUAUUUUUUCGUUUUAAAACACUAUGUGUCCAUUAUAAUUUCCCGAAUAUCUCACGUUUCACAAUAUACUAAUAUUUGUUUAGAAUUAAAUGGUAUAAUAUAUAGAGACGUGGAGACAAAAUGUAUACUCACCACUGUAGAUAUUGACGUUUAAUAGCAUGUAAUAAUAUUUAUCUGAAUGAGACUAUAUCGACAUCAUCCUACAUACCUACACAUAUCCAAACGAAUAACAUAAACCAACAUCAAAGCUUCGCCAAUCUGCUUAUCGAUUGUUCCAGAUUUUUAAUUCGUAGAACGAAGCGUAACACGUGUAGCGCGUGAUAAUGCAAAUGAGAUUAAAACAACUUUUGGUUAGACUUUGAAACGAACUGGACAGCUUUAUCUAGCAACGUUCGCCGUGAUAUUCCAAGCGAAAUAUGGUCGAGACGUUUGAUGAACGUUUAAGUGAGUGGUGAACCGGUGUACUCGUUAUUUCGCGAACAGCCGGCCCGUUCGUAACAAGGCAUACAGAGAGUUUGUUUCUAAUGUCGAGUACUAAAACCCCACUUAAUGAAAAGGAGAUUAAGGGAUCGGGCGGCUCAGAGGGAGAUUAAUCUCUUGAAAGCUCGCACGUUGUAAUCCAACGGGUUCUCAUUAUUCACAUUGUACGUACCGAAUAUAUCGUGUGUGCUAAUUCGUCAAACUAGUUUACCUUUAUUUCCUAUAAUUAACGUAAUGAAGAGUAAACCAGAACAAUCCAUUUGGGUUGUCGAUAUUUACACACUAGUGCGAAUAUAAGUAUUCCAAUAUCAAUAUUAAUUUUUGAACUAAACCAUACUAAAUUAAUUAAUAAAUUGUAAAUAAGUAAAUGUUAUGCCAGAAAUAAAAGCAGCAUUGUCGAUUUAUUACGUAUAAUUAUUUAAAUAUUAGAAAACACGUUUGUUAUCCCAUUAUUCUGUUUAGGAAAUUUCUUAUAUUGAUAGUAGUUAAUAGAUAGCUUUAUAUUAAAAACAGCAAAAACUUCAAGAGGAAUAUUUGUAGAUACAGUGCUAAGUUAUCAUUCGAAAAUGUUCGUAACGAAUUUAUGGCUGUAUAAAUACAUCCGUUUUAACUUUAUUACUUGAACAUCGCAACAAAUCUUCUACAGAAUAUUUUCUGCGUUAGUAUGGUAUGCAAGGUAUUUCACAGGUACAAUACGUUCAAAUAUUUAUCCUACGUAUACUACAUGCGAGGACUAUGUCUCUUUUAGCCACCUAGCUCCUGUUAAAUUGUUAAUCAGACUGUUGCCUAAUAUAAUAGGAUAUAUAAAUAUUAAUUGUGCAACUUACCUCAAUACCUAAAUAUACCUCACAUAAUGUAGACCUAAAUAUAAUAAAAAUUACGUAAUUAUUUUUCUAAUUUCAUAAAAAUAUCACAUCAUUAUAUUACUCGUAAUUAACUUACUAACAUUUUCGUUUCUGUCUAUUUCUGAUUUUUAUUCAAAUUAUCUCUAUUUUUCUUAACCUUCUUUAAACUUCACAGAGCGAAUUUAUGUUUAAAAUUCGCCAAAGAGGUUUCCCGAAUUCCCGUAAUUCGAGGUUUUCGAGAACUUUCGAGAACUUUCGAGACCGGAAUUGUAUUCGCUUCGUAGGUGAUGCGUUGACUGCCAUGAUUUCGUGGUUACCACGUAUUCGUCCAUCCAUACGCGCAGAAUUCCAGGGGCACACGAUUGUUAAACCUCUCGCUUAGCAUCCGGUUCGUAAAGUUCCACCGUGGGCAGCAGCAGGCUCAGAUUUACUUGCGGCUAACGUAGUUACCUGUUAGCCUGGGGUUACGGUAAAGCUCGCUUUAUCGUGCCAGAAAUCUCGUGGAUACGUUGUCAUAGUUCAACGCUUACGACAUGAUUCCUGUUUUCUAUUGGCUGCCAUUCUCUCUCUCUCUCUCUCUCUCUCUCUUUCUCUUCUCCGCUCCUUCGCUGCUGAGUUACGCCUAUUGUGUGUUGCAGACACUCGCGCGAAUACCGUGUCGAUAAUUUCCAGGAAAUAAGCUGUUAUUUCUUUGAGAAUUAUGCGGAAAUUAAUCUGGAACUUGCGUGGUAAAAUUACAUCUUUGGAAAUUUUAUGGUAAGCUGAAUAUAAGUUUGUUCGUGUUUUUUAUGGAUUCUUUAGAAGUUUCUUUAAGAGAUGUUUUAAUUAAAGUCUAUCUAAUCGAUAUCGUGUAUAAUGUUUUAUUACACUACCUUUGGCAACUUAUUCGUCUUAUUAUUUUAAGUCUCUUUCGUUUUUGGUCAAGAAGUUUGUAAUUGUAAAUUUUCUCCGAAUUGCUUGACGAUUCUCCCGAAGAACGUUCUCUACAUCUUUAAAUAAUUGAAAAUUAGAUGAAACAGGUUAUCAGAAACAUUAUCAUUUGUCAUCUGAUUUUAUCUGGAAUCUAAGAGUAAUAGUUCUACGAGCUUUUAAAUCUGUGUGGAUUUUCCUCUCUGCAUAUUUAUCUACUAUAACUAACACAGGUAACAUCAUCAUAUAUCCUUAAGAACGCAUAUUGCUAGAACAUUACUUACUUUACAUAUCCAUAACGAAACGAAAUAUCCAUUCCGAAAUAUAAUAUAUAAUUUCCAAAAAAAUAUCGCAUGUCAUAUUUCAAAUUUAAAAAGAAAUUUAAAUCUCAUGUGACACUCAACCUUAUUUUCAAAUUGCGGUACGUACUCAGUUAUUUUCUCGCGGUUAAUCUUUGUUCCCUUCAAAUUUAUAAAAGGGAGCAUAUUUAUCCACGGAAUCUGUCCUCUGCCUCCUAAUAAGUGCCAAGGACCAACGUCUAAUCUCGCAGUAAAUUAAGAAACGUGAUGUCAACCAUCUAGAAUGCGGAACUCUGCGUGGCACAAAGGCACUCUUCGUCAUCCCAUGCCUCCGAUUCGACCGUAAUUUCGGAUGUGAUGCAGCAACAUUUUCGAACCGGGGAUAUAUUUGCCAUCACACGUUCGUUCGUCAGAACCGUGUGAUGGAUGGGAAACAAUAAUGGCACCCGUUAGAGGGUUGCGCAGGAAACGCAUUAACGCGCCUACCUUUUCGUCAUCCUCAGGUGAAGGAGUCGAUUGUGGCCACCGACUGUUCCUGAAACCUUCCAGAAAGCCAUCUAAGAAAUGCCCUAUAUAGGGGUGUUUCGAAUGAAUAUCAUUGAGUUAUGUGGGCGUUGACAUAACGUCAAUUUUACUUUCAUAUUCCAUUAGGGAAACCUUUUAUCGCUGAAUGGUAUCAUGAAAAAUCAUUUCCAUUGCGUUCCUGACAUAUUCCUGUUCCGAUAAAGCAGAUAAAUAAAAGCAAGCUGUAUAAUUGAGUGCAAGUGAAAUUUUAUACUUGAAUUCUUCCGAAAUAUUCUUGAAUAUUCUUAAAUAUUUGAUUUCAGAAAGAAUUUUAUAAUAUAGUGGAGAUAUCGAUGAGCAUCUUGAAAUUUUCUUGGACAUAUUGAGAACAUAGAAUAUCUAGAAACGAAUACCUACAAGUAGGCACUCAGAACUUAAAAUUAAAUCUAAACAUAAACGGCGUAGUUUGGCCACGAGUCGUAGAAAAAUGUGAAAGGUGAAAACAGAAUAAAAUAGCAUUAAAGAUUGGAAUAUAAAAAUAUUAAUCUAAGUUAUCAUUAUCGGAAGGCGCCGAUAAUUUAAUUGUAUCGAGGCAAACAACGGUACAAUAAUAUCUCACAACCGUGCGUCUCAAUAACGUUCCGCGUUAUCCCUUCGCAAAAAAAAAAAAAGAUGAACGAGUCUUCCCUCGAUGAAGAAACUAGCCAGUGAACCGCAAUUAGUACGAUUUUCGGUAGCGACCGCUUGCAAACAUCAUAAUUAUCCGAGUGCGUAUUCGCUGAAAUUUAUAUCCGUCUCGGAUAACGAGUUAAAGAAUAAAAGAAACGAGGGUUGGAAGAAAGGGGGAACGGCGGCCAGUGUUGCACGGCUGCCGCUGCUUAAGGGAAGUAACGAGCACUAAUAACCGCGAGAAUUAAUUAACAGCCGACCGAGGCAAAGGGGCAGAGUGGUAUAACUUGGAAGGGAAUACAUUCACCGCGGAAGAAUACAUUUUAAACACGGCGGUGUGCAUCUUACUCGCGUCUAGGAUUUAAGACCGUCUCGGUGGCCUGGCUAGAUUCAGAAAUGCUGAAAACGCUGAAAGGAAGCCUCGGUGCAAAAAGAGAGCAGUAAACGUGCUAAAGGAAAAGAAAGAAACGAGGAGAAGAAGAGCGUAUCGGACUCUAGAUCUAUGCGUUGGGUUUCUCUUCGUGAAAGAAAAUACCUGAAUGAAGAAGGCCGCGCGAGGAGGAAAGAAAUGGGAAAAAAGAACGGGAAAUGGAGAACGAAAUGGAGGGGAACGCACAAACGAUAGAGCGUGAAGCGGCUUGUCGAGGGCGAAUUAAAGAGGAGCUCCGUAGGAAAAGAAGAAGAGACGACCGGGAGAGGAAAAGCGGGAGCGAGGAAACGGCGUGUCACCGGGCUCCCGCAGUCAUUAAAAACCGUAGCCCCGUCGUUCUGGCCAUUAGAAUGACAAAUGACGUCGUUGACGGUGCCAAAUUAGCACGAUGAAAGGACGACAGUCACCUCGCGGAAGGCUGUCAUGACGCGAGUUGUACGCGGCUACAUCGGUCUCCGCUUGUAAAAUCUCUGCCAAAGGACGCGGACCGUUUACGCGAGCAGUUUUUGCCCACAGUCAUGCGAAUGAAAUACCGACGACUGUUCGCGAUUAUUACUGCACCUUUAUUACUGUCAUUUUCCGCGUAGUUCUAAUUUUUCGUCGGUUAAUGGACGGUCUCGAUGUAAGUCGGUGCUUUCAGACAUUUCUGCUCGGUGACGACUAACGAUCGAACGUGAGAGAAUACGCGUGGCAAUAAUCAAAGAGUGACCGGGCCGCUUUCAAACGCGUAUCCAUUCAUUAAGGUUAAGCAGCAUUUACGAAGCACGAUCGGUUCCGCAUUCAGCCAGCUGGUAGCCGGAUUACCGUAGCAUUACCUGGUAAUUAGCUUCCGAUGAGUCCACGCUUCAUUGGCCACGUCCCUUGCUCGAUUCGUCUCGUUGAUAUUCUCGUGCCUUCGAUGAAAUCGAUCCCGAUAACUCGAUCGGAUUUCCCGCAUUCGUUUCCUAUAAUUAAUUCUCUGACGCGAUUCCUCUCUCUAAAUAUACGUCGACGCUCGUUCGCCCGGUUAAUUUCUAUCGGCGAGGAUUUAUCGUCGGUGACCGUAGCGUAGAAAUGUCAUCGGAACACACUGAUCGAAUAUCAAUCUUGUUUCAUACGUUCGACGUCGCUCGCCGUGGCUCUUACUACGUCAAUAAGUAACAAAUUUAAAAUAUACGCGGAGAUGAAAUAUUUAGCCGAUGGACGCGUACCUUUGACAAACCCGUUUUCCCCGCCUCGAUCUUCCACAAUCUACAACGUCGACAGGCUCGCCAAACUAUCGAAUUACAAACGUAACGCGUUAACGAGAAAAUAGCGGAACGCGUUAAACGCAAGGAGAAGGGACGAUGGAUCCGUAAAUCAGGGAUAAAACGAAUUGUCGUUGGGUCCAUCGGACAUUUAUAGACUCAAAUUCGCUUCGCUAAAAGUUUUAUUUCGUCCAAUCCAGGACAGAUAGACUGGUCUGUGUUUCCUCUGUGUGUAUGCAACUGGAAGAGUGUGUGUGUCUUCUCUUGUGUAUCUCUUCGUGUACGAUACGCGUGUGUGUUUCUCGUGUGUGCACGUGUUACACUUCGUUACACGUAGUUGUUUCCUCCUACGUCGCAAUUAGUACAAUAUAAUAUGUAUAGUUUUAUUUUCGUCUAUCUCGUUAGCAUACAAAAGGAUACAGGCACACAAAUAUCAAAUAUGCAUCCGGUACUCGUUAUUACUAUUGAUCAAUUAUAAUUACACUCACAGUGGUAUCUUUUAUUUAUUUAUUUUUUUUACCUUUUCAUCAUUAUUAUUAUUAUUAUUCCAUGUCUCGCAAUCACGCGUACAUACAUCCUUCAUAUGUAAAUUUUCACGCUUUCCGUCGUUCGUUCUUCAUUCUCUUACAAGUUACACGCUAUAUGUUACAAUUAUAUACAAAAUGGUCACUUCCCGUGUCUCGACGGGCUUAUUUAUAAUACGUUUACACAUAUUAUGUAUAAAUUACAAUUGCUAUAUACAUUGAGAGAUAAUGCGGCGCGUUUAAUAGUUCCGGGGUGGCGAAAAUGUUUCCUGAACCGUCGUCCUGUUAAACCUAUGAUAUAAACCGAUCGUCGUUGUUUUCCAUCCUCGUACCUGCUCGUCGCGUUCCCUUCUACUCGUUGCGUGCUUGUGUAGCUGCACGUAAGCAUCCGACAUCCCUCAUAUUUGCACGAUCGAUGUCGAUACGCGAGGUGGUCGAAGUGAACGCAACAACAGUGUCGCUCUGACGAUAUUUUAUUUAGAGAUUGUUUCGACAAACAGGCGCUUAUUCAAACGAGACUUCGAUAGAGUUAUAUAUUUGAGCAAGAAAUGCACCGAGAUCGACGCCACAGCUGUUUUAUUGCAAACUUACAUUGAUUUCAGUACAUACUGUAUUCUCGAGUUAUGCUAAAUUUCUCUAAACUAUAACUUACAAUAUUAUCGUUCCUCUCGUACAACAUCUAAUUCACAGUAACGAAGACAAAACGAACGAAACUCACAAACUUUCACAUUUUACUUAAACAAUUGCGAGUUGGUCGUUACUUGUUCGAUUGAAUUUUUAUUUAAAUCCCAGCCUCAAGAUUCGAG